AUUUUUGGGGGUGUUUCUGAGACCUUAUGGUCGAUGAUGAUUCCGAUCUAAAUCGGACACCUUUCUGAGUUUUUCAUCGUGAUAUCUGAGUGUAUUUGCUUCACUCAAACGUUCUGGGAGAUUUUCUGAUGAUCUUUGGGUGAUUUUUGGGUGACCUAUCGGCUUCUAGGGUUUCUGGUGGUUUAACCUAGAGUUUUACUGCUAUCCGGUGGCUCGAUUCUCACUCAGUGGAUAUCUUGGGUGACUUUCCGACAUUCCUGACCAUACUUACAGUAAGGCUUUCGACGGUUGCACCUAGGGUUUUGUACCUAGGGUUUUCUCUGUUUGUUUGAAGGUCGAUCUUCUCCAGUCGCGAAGAAGGAGGGUAACUCUUCUUAUCUUGAGUAUUAUAUGCUUUCUAUGUGAUUAUCUGGCUCCGUAGGUGAGUAUCUGGUUUUGUGUGUGAAUAUCUG
rnacentral:lncRNA from 1 species